rnacentral:rRNA from 1 species
GACGAACGCUGGCGGCGUGCUUAACACAUGCAAGUCGAACGAUGAUGCUGGAGCUUGCUCCAGUUGAUUAGUGGCGAACCGGUGAGUAACACGUGAGCAAUCUGCCCUUGACUCUGGGAUAACUGCGGGAAACUGUAGCUAAUACCGGAUACUUUCACCGGGGGGCAUCCUCUGGUGAUGAAAGAAUUUCGGUCAAGGAUGAGCUCGCGGCCUAUCAGCUUGUUGGUGAGGUAACGGCUCACCAAGGCGACGACGGGUAACCGGCCUGAGAGGGUGACCGGUCACACUGGGACUGAGACACGGCCCAGACUUCUACGGGAGGCAGCAGUGGGGAAUAUUGCACAAUGGGCGCAAGCCUGAUGCAGCAACGCCGCGUGAGGGAUGAAGGCCUUCGGGUUGUAAACCUCUUUUAGCAGGGAAGAAGCGAAAGUGACGGUACCUGCAGAAAAAGCACCGGCUAACUACGUGCCAGCCGCCGCAGUAA